rnacentral:misc_RNA from 1 species
ACCAAGGGCGCCAUUCGAGUGUGGACGUUCAUGUGUACGUGUAUGCGUGCCUGUCGCAGCGCCUGCGCAUUAACAUUCACUGCGCAGUCGUAGUCCGACCAGGAUGGCGCCCAUGUGAUAACGUUUUACGCGUAUUCAUGGUGAAGUUUCCCAUCUUGCGCCGCUACGCGGCGCUAUACGAUCUUUGGUUAUGACUUGUGUACAUGUGUAAUAAGACGACCUACUGACCUCGUCCAAUAACUUGGACCCUGCUGUCCCUAUAGCACAGGCUACGGUCAAAGUUACUCGGACCACCAUGGUCGGACUAGGUCCUUUGUAAGACCCUUGUAUUGUUCUAACUGUGCGUGUAUGACACCAUCCUGCAUCAGUGAAUAGCAUCAACGAGAUGGCAAGUAGUAACUACGACGACCUCUCCAAUGAGACAGAGGAGGAAUUCACCGCCCGCAUCUCAAGCAAAGUGGAAAGCGGCCUGAACUGCAUGAGUGUGGCUAUGGGGAUCGAGACGGGACUCUUCAGGGUCAUGAUCAGCCUGGGAGAACCCAAGACCUGCCAGGAUAUUGCGGAUGCUGGUGGGUACAAGGAGAGAUACGUCCGAGAGUGGUUGGUCAACAUGGUGGCGACCAACAUUGUUGAGUAUGACGCAGCGAGAGAAACGUACUGGCUCCCUCCACACCGCCACUGCAUUGAUGGGUCGGUGAAAGCCACUGCAAUGACCAGGGCAAUCCCUACCCUGUGUGCCGCAUUCUUUGAUGUGGCUGAGUGCUUCAAGAAAGAUGGCCCUCCAGGCGUGUCCUAUGACAAGUAUGGGAAGUUUGAUGAGUUGAUGACCCUGAUGAGUCAGGUUUUCUUCAGGGAGCGUUUGGUGCAACAUUUCAUCCCCACCAUGCCUAAGGUGCAUCAGGAACUGCAGCAAGGCAUCAAGGUUCUUGAAAUCGGAUGCAGUCAGGGCAUCUCAACGAUGGCCAUUGCCAAGAACUUUCCCAAGAGUCAGGUGUACGGAAUCGACAUCACCGAAGAUGGCAUCAGGCACGCCCAGGUGAAGGCCGAAGAGAUGGGCAUAACAAAUGCCCAGUUCCUUUGCAUGUCCGCCAGUCUCUUGCCGGCGGACUGGUCCGAGAAGUUCGACUUUGUAUUCAUGCACAACGUCCUCCAUGACUUGCCCCACCCGAUGAAGACACUCAUCGAGGUUCAUCGCAUCCUCAAGGUGGGUGGGACCAUGUCAGUCAUCGACCCAGCCGGCUACUCCAAGUUGGAGGAUAAUUUGUCCAAGGCAGCUGAGUUUACCAGAUCUGUCUCUGUCCUGAGUAUGAUGAAUUGUGUGCCGACCUCAUUAUCAGUUGAGGGUGGGAUGGGCCUGGGAGCACUCUGGGGGCGGGAGAAAGCCCAAGAGAUGAUGCGAGCUGCCAAAUUUGAAGUAAUUGCAGUAAGUCCAGUGGCCACAAGGAAUUCCCUCAACUAUCAGUGCCAGAAAAUUUGAAAAAAAAAAACAACUUUCCAAUUAAAUUGCUUCCAUGAGUAGUGAAUUCCGAGCACCCCCUCCAAUUAAAUUGUUUCCAUGAGUAGUGAAUUCCGAGCACCCCUCCAAUUAAAUUGUUUCCAUGAGUAGUGAAUUCCGAGCACCCCCUCCAAUUAAAUUGUUUCCAUGAGUAGUGAAUUCCGAGCACCCCCUCCAAUUAAAUUGUUUCCAUGAGUAGUGAAUUCCGAGCACCCCCUCCAAUUAAAUUGUUUCCAUGAGUAGUGAAUUCUGAGCACAACAGACUGGCCAAACUCGAGUUUGGAAAGCACAUGAAUUUUGUCGAAGUACAAAGAAGAGUUAAGCAUCGAGCAAAGCUGGGGCUGGAGAUGAUGUGCAAUGCCCUAUUUCUAUGGACCUUCCAAGCCUGUGCCCCUUUAAUGUCUUUGCAUACUCGUCUCUCUUUCUCUCUUCCACACCGAUAAUUUUGAAUAACUGUACAAAUAAAUGCAAUAUCUAGACUUUGGACACUUGAUAAAAAGACAUUGCUACGUUUUGAUACCCAUUCAUCAACUCACUACAAAUAAAGCAAUGUAUCACUGGCUCUCAUUUUGUACUUCUAAUGUGAUUUUUAAAAGUAUUUUUAUGCUAAAAUUAUUGAUCGUAUCAGUAACUUGUGUAACUUUUUUGUUUAUUUUCCACAUAGAGUACUAGAAUCAAUGUAACAAAGUUGAAUAGAUUGUUAUGUUAAUAAACAAAACAUGCAUGAUUUUAUUUGAA